rnacentral:rRNA from 1 species
AUUGAACGCUGGCGGCAUGCCUUACACAUGCAAGUCGAACGGCAGCACGGGAGCAAUCCUGGUGGCGAGUGGCGAACGGGUGAGUAAUAUAUCGGAACGUGCCCAGUCGUGGGGGAUAACGCAGCGAAAGCUGUGCUAAUACCGCAUAUGAUCUACGGAUGAAAGCGGGGGAUCGCAAGACCUCGCGCGAUUGGAGCGGCCGAUAUCAGAUUAGCUAGUUGGUGGGGUAAAGGCCCACCAAGGCGACGAUCUGUAGCUGGUCUGAGAGGACGACCAGCCACACUGGAACUGAGACACGGUCCAGACUCCUACGGGAGGCAGUAGUGGGGAAUUUUGGACAAUGGGCGCAAGCCUGAUCCAGCAAUGCCGCGUGCAGGAUGAAGGCCUUCGGGUUGUAAACUGCUUUUGUACGGAACGAAACGGCCCUUUCUAAUACAGGGGGCUAAUGACGGUACCGUAAGGAUAAGCACCGGCUAACUACGUGCCAGCCGCCGCCGUAA